ensembl:rRNA 5S_rRNA 5S ribosomal RNA
GCUUACGCCAUACCACCUUGGCACGCCCGAUCUCGUCUGAUCUCGGAAGCUAAGCAGGGUCGGGCCUGGUUAGUACUUGGAUGGGUGACCGCCUGGGAAUACCAGGUGCUGUAAGCA